UACGUAGGGUCCGAGCGUUGUCCGGAUUUAUUGGGCGUAAAGAGCUCGUAGGCGGUUCCGUAAGUCAGAUGUGAAAACUCAGGGCUCAACCCGGAGACGCCAUCUGAUACUGCGGUGACUGGAGUCUGGUAGGGGAACACGGAAUUCCUGGUGUAGCGGUGAAAUGCGUAGAUAUCUGGAGGAAUACCGGUGGCGAAGGCGGCAUCCUGGACCAUUACUGACGCUGAGGCGCGAAAGCUAGGGGAGCAAACGGG
rnacentral:rRNA from 1 species